rnacentral:rRNA from 1 species
AACGAACGCUGGCGGCAUGCCUAACACAUGCAAGUCGAACGAGACCUUCGGGUCUAGUGGCGCACGGGUGCGUAACGCGUGGGAACCUGCCCUUAGGUUCGGAAUAACUCCCCGAAAGGGGUGCUAAUACCGGAUAAUGUCUUCGGACCAAAGAUUUAUCGCCUUUGGAUGGGCCCGCGUUGGAUUAGCUAGUUGGUAGGGUAAAAGCCUACCAAGGCGACGAUCCAUAGCUGGUCUGAGAGGAUGAUCAGCCACACUGGGACUGAGACACGGCCCAGACGACGGGGGGAGGCGGGGGUGGGAAAUGAGCGACGGGGGGAGGCGGCCGGAGCGAGCAGGGCGGGGUGGGGAAGGAAGGCAUGAGGGUUGUAAACGUCCUUUCCCCGGUAGAAAAAGUACGGUGCGGGGGGACUAACCCCCGGAAAACCCCGCGCCAGGAGCGGCGGUAAUAAGGGGAAGACCACACGUCGGAAC